AUUUCUUUUCCUUUUAAGGGCCAUUUAACUAGCUUACCGUAACAUUGAUAUUUCUUUACCUUUUAAGGGCCAUUUAAUUAGGUUACAAUUAUGUGUCUUAAAUAAUUACCGUAUGUUCUAGUCCUGUCUAGUAAUGUAGUUAUUUCUGUGUUUCACAGAUGGAGCUUGUUGCGGCAUACAUUUUCAAUCGCAAACUGUGCAGGGAAAGGAGAUAUCGGGACCCACUCAACGCACUACAUGUCAGUGAUGAGCACCUGUUGCAGGUGUAUAGAUUUCCCCGUCAGGAAAUCAUCAGGCUCUGUGAUGAGUUUCGCCCCCACCUGGAAAGGAGAACCAGGAGGGCACAUGCACUCCCAACACACACCCAGGAGACACUGCGUAUCCUCUGGAGCCAUUCCUGAUGACCCCAGUUGCACGGCCGACAACACCUGGGGAGGAGCGCUACAACAAGUCAUCACAGGACAAGAUGCGUUGUCGAACGGACCUUUGGGAUCCUCAAGUCAAGGUGCAGGUGCCUACAUAAGUCAGGAGGAAGUUUGCAGUAUGACCCCAAGAAGACUAUGAAGAUUGCGACUUCUUGUAUGCUCCUGCACAACUACUGAGUGGAUCGCUGCAGAAGAAGUAACAGUUCAGCCUGUGAGAAACAACAGACUGAUUCCUGGUCAAGUUGUCAGGCAGGAAUUUAUUAGAAACUUCUUUUCCUGAGUAUAGAUUGCAUAUGGUGCACUGGUGGCCGAGUGGUCAGCGUGUGUAUGUGGUGAUCCAGAGGACUCGACUCCCACCGCAAGACGCUGAGAGUUUUCAACCAUUGACAAGUGGCGGAGGGUUACCAACAUGCUGCCCGGCAGAUCUUCAGUCAACCCUAACUUCAGCGUCUUUGAUCAAGAGGGGCACCACCUCCACACCACUCAUUCUUAUCACCUAGUUUGAUACCCUACUUGUCCAUCUCACAUGCCCCAUGUAUCUCAGCAUUCUGCACUCUUGGCUCCAUGUCAUCCUCUCCAACUUGUUGGUUCGUAUAGCAUAACCGGCCUCACAUACAUAGAAGUGUUCAAUAUACCUAGG